CAAAAAAGAAAAAGAAGCAAUGAAUAAGGAAGCAGAAAAAAUUGAAACAUCCGGGGCUGCUACAUACACAUUGUGGGAUAAAUUGAAGGUGUGGCUUAGUUUAGUUCUUCUUUUAUUUAUUGUUUAAUUAUUUCUAAGGUAGACCCUGCGUGAAUC
rnacentral:ribozyme from 15 species